AAUCCUCUCAUCCUUAUUCAACCCUUUCCUCCUCGUCGAUUCCACUGAUUCGUUUAACCUGCUCGGCGCCGCCAUUGAUUCCUCCCAAUCCUACUCGCUGGCGCCACUGAUUUCCUCAAACCCUAUCCAAACCUCGGCCCAAUCGAACGACUCUGAAACCCUAGAAGUAUCACCCCAAAAUUGACAUCAGCUCUGAUCCAACUUUCACGAAACCUCUCUCAAAUUAGCAUGGUUCUUCUCUUCAUUCACCAAUUCCUAUUUGUAUCAAUUUGGUACAACUACAACCAGUUCUGAUAAUAAGUGCCUAUUCGUUCUAUAUUUUUCUUCUUCUUUGAGAUCUAUACGAGCUCCAAAUGAUAGAUCGGGAUGAAAUAGAUAUUGUUCUCUAAUUAAUCAAAUUGCGAGCAUGAAACUGAAUGUCAAAUUUCAGGAAUUUUUAUGGAACUAAAGUGGGGUCACCUUAAAGAUGUACAACAAGUUAUAAAACUUAGUGAAGAAGCACAAAUAGUUAUUGACCCAAAGAUUUCAUCUCUUGGUCCAAACCUAA